rnacentral:sRNA from 1 species
AACACGGUGUGUCCUAAUUUUUUUUCUCUUUGAAGUCAUCCGGAACAAUGUAUGAUGAAAAAAGGACUCAAGUCCUCAAGGGGAGUAACUCAACUUGCACCACCACAUCUGUCACAUAAAACUCUGAGUGACGUCAUUGACCUCCACUAUGGAGACGAGCUCAAAGGCAACGCUUACAUUCAUCAAUUGGUUCUGAU